AUAGCUUCUAUUAUCACCUUUCUACAUUUGUUGUGCCCUUCUGGACUCCAAGACCAGCUCAACCCAACUACCUAAGCCUGAUUGAGUGUUUCUGAGACCUGGGUAACCCAACAACCCUUGGACUAAAGGCCACAGCUACCUUUAUUCAUUGCAUAGCUUCUAUUAUCACCUUUCUACAUUUGUUGUGCCCUUCUGGACUCCAAGACCAGCUCAACCCAACUACCUAAGCCUGAUUGAGUGUUUCUGAGACCUGGGUAACCCAACAACCCUUGGACUAAAGGCCACAGCUACCUUUAUUCAUUGCAUAGCUUCUAUUAUCACCUUUCUACAUUUGUUGUGCCCUUCUGGACUCCAAGACCAGCUCAACCCAACUACCUAAGCCUGAUUGAGUGUUUCUGAGACCUGGGUAACCCAACAACCCUUGGACUAAAGGCCACAGCUACCUUUAUUCAUUGCAUAGCUUCUAUUAUCACCUUUCUACAUUUGUUGUGCCCUUCUGGACUCCAAGACCAGCUCAACCCAACUACCUAAGCCUGAUUGAGUGUUUCUGAGACCUGGGUAACCCAACAACCCUUGGACUAAAGGCCACAGCUACCUUUAUUCAUUGCAUAGCUUCUAUUAUCACCUUUCUACAUUUGUUGUGCCCUUCUGGACUCCAAGACCAGCUCAACCCAACUACCUAAGCCUGAUUGAGUGUUUCUGAGACCUGGGUAACCCAACAACCCUUGGACUAAAGGCCACAGCUACCUUUAUUCAUUGCAUAGCUUCUAUUAUCACCUUUCUACAUUUGUUGUGCCCUUCUGGACUCCAAGACCAGCUCAACCCAACUACCUAAGCCUGAUUGAGUG